rnacentral:rRNA from 1 species
CUUAUGAAGUUAGCGGCGGACGGGUGAGUAACACGUGGGUAACCUACCCAUAAGACUGGGAUAACUCCGGGAAACCGGGGCUAAUACCGGAUAAUAUUUUGAACUGCAUAGUUCGAAAUUGAAAGGCGGCUUCGGCUGUCACUUAUGGAUGGACCCGCGUCGCAUUAGCUAGUUGGUGAGGUAACGGCUCACCAAGGCGACGAUGCGUAGCCGACCUGAGAGGGUGAUCGGCCACACUGGGACUGAGACACGGCCCAGACUCCUACGGGAGGCAGCAGUAGGGAAUCUUCCGCAAUGGACGAAAGUCUGACGGAGCAACGCCGCGUGAGUGAUGAAGGCUUUCGGGUCGUAAAACUCUGUUGUUAGGGAAGAACAAGUGCUAGUUGAAUAAGCUGGCACCUUGACGGUACCUAACCAGAAAGCCACGGCUAACUACGUGCCAGCAGCCGCGGUAAUACGUAGGUGGCAAGCGUUAUCCGGAAUUAUUGGGCGUAAAGCGCGCGCAGGUGGUUUCUUAAGUCUGAUGUGAAAGCCCACGGCUCAACCGUGGAGGGUCAUUGGAAACUGGGAGACUUGAGUGCAGAAGAGGAAAGUGGAAUUCCAUGUGUAGCGGUGAAAUGCGUAGAGAUAUGGAGGAACACCAGUGGCGAAGGCGACUUUCUGGUCUGUAACUGACACUGAGGCGCGAAAGCGUGGGGAGCAAACAGGAUUAGAUACCCUGGUAGUCCACGCCGUAAACGAUGAGUGCUAAGUGUUAGAGGGUUUCCGCCCUUUAGUGCUGAAGUUAACGCAUUAAGCACUCCGCCUGCCGGAGUACGGCCGCAAGGCUGAAACUCAAAGGAAUUGAACGGGGGGCCCGGCACAAGCGGUGGAGCAUGUGGAUUUAAUUCAAAUCAACGCGAACAACCCUUACCAAGGUCGUGACAUCCUCUGAAACUCUAGAGGAUAGAGUCUUCUCCUUCGGCAGCGGAGUGACAGGUGAUGCAUGGAUUGAUCGUCUGUCUCCUGUCAUGGAGAUGUGGAGUUUAAGGUACCCACAAUCGACCCACAACGCGUGGAGCGUUAGGUUGCCAAUUCAUGACCUUGUCCGAGUCGAGGAGCCAGU